UACGGAGGGUGCAAGCGUUAAUCGGAAUAACUGGGCGUAAAGCGCGCGUAGGUGGUUUGUCAAGUUGGAUGUGAAAUCCCCGGGCUCAACCUGGGAACUGCAUCCAAAACUGACUGACUAGAGUACGGUAGAGGUUAGUGGAAUUUCCUGUGUAGCGGUGAAAUGCGUAGAUAUAGGAAGGAACACCAGUGGCGAAGGCGACUAACUGGACUGAUACUGACACUGAGGUGCGAAAGCGUGGGGAGCAAACAGG
rnacentral:rRNA from 1 species